CCUACGGGAGGCAGCAGUGGGGAAUAUUGCACAAUGGGGGAAACCCUGAUGCAGCGACGCCGCGUGAGUGAAGAAGGAUUUCGGGAUGUAAAGCUCUAUCAGCAGGGAAGAAAAUGACGGUACCUGAGAAAGAAGCCCCGGCGAACAACGUGCCAGCAGCCGCGGUAAUACGUCGGGGGCACUCGUUAUCCGGAUUUACUGGGGGUAAAGGGCGCGUAGACGGCAGCACAAGUCUGGAGUGAAAUGCCGGGGCUUAACCCCGGAACUGCUUUGGAAACUGUGCAGCUAGAGUGCAGGAGAGGUAAGUGGACUUCCUCGUGUCGCGGUGAACUGCGUAGAUAUUAGGAGGAACACCAGUGGCGAAGGCGGCUUACUGGACUGUAACUGCCGUUGAGGCUCGAAAGCGUGGGGAGCAAACAGGAUUAGAUACCCCUGUAGUC
rnacentral:rRNA from 1 species